GAUGAAGAACGUAGCGAAAUGCGAUACGUAAUGUGAAUUGCAGAAUUCAGUGAAUCAUCGAGUCUUUGAACGCACAUUGCGCCCCCUGGUAUUCCGGGGGGCAUGCCUGUCCGAGCGUCAUUGCUGCCCUCAAGCACGGCUUGUGUGUUGGGCCUCCGCCCCCCGGCUCCCGGGGGGCGGGCCCGAAAGGCAGCGGCGGCACCGCGUCCGGUCCUCGAGCGUAUGGGGCUUCGUCACCCGCUCUGUAGGCCCGGCCGGCGCCCGCCGGCGACCCCCCUCAAUCUUUCCAGGUUGACCUCGGAUCAGGUAGGGAUACCCGCUGAACUUAAGCAUAUCAAUAAGCGGAGGA
rnacentral:misc_RNA from 1 species